AUGCCUCCCUCUCCCUAUUCCCCUCUCUCCCUCCCUUUCCCUCUCCCUCCCUUGCCCUAUGCCUCCCUCUCCCUAUUCCCCUCCCUCUCUCCCUCCCCCUAUUCCUCUCUCUCUCCCUCUCUCCCUCCCCCUAUUCCUCUCUCUCUCCCUCUCUCCCUCUUCCUCUCUCUCUCCCUCUCUCCCUCCCCCUAUUCCCCUCUCUCCCUCUCUCCCUCCCCCUCUCUCUCUCUAGAUGCUGAGCCUCUCGCCCACAUCCCCGUGGUGGAGGUGGAAUCUGAGCCAGAGGAGGAGGAGGAAAAGCCUCUCCAACUGCAGCCCAGGAUGAUGGAGUGGCUGAAGCAAGGCAUCGAGAAGGUGGUUCCCCGUCCCGAGAUCUACAUCCACGUCCCCCACGAAGGCGCGGCCCAGAGUCAAAAGAAAGCUGAGGAGGCUCCAGCUCCGGCGGGCGACACGGAGAAUGUGGUAGGCUGGAUCGUUGGAGGCAUUGGUCGCAUGCUGCCCCAACCUGUGCUGAAGAAGGACAACAACGAUGGAGUGGAGAACAGAGCCAUGAGAGCCCCUUAAAUUAAAGGAGAAGACAGGGUUGGACAGAGUCCUUCACUCAGAAACAGAUGCACUUUAGCAGAGCAAGCAAGACAAUCGCACAAUGGAGCCAGUUUCUACAGACACCUGCACCAUCUAUACUAAGCAGUUAUUUACUCUUAUUUGCCAUAGUAAAUUACUAUGUUAGGCUAUAAUGGUUUAAAAUACGCCCACAGCUAAGUAUAUCCUGUAUGUUGUUUAUGUACAUUAUGUAACACGAUAGUGACCAAGAUAAUCCACUGUGAUAUCUUCAGAUCGAGAUACAGUUGCAAUAGGACAUGUUAAUGUUCGAGAAAAAAAUCGAAAUACACCAUUUAAUAUGUCCCUCUUUAUUUAGUUAUUACAAAUUGUAAUUUUUUUUGAGCUAAUUGAUGUCAAUGAUUAUCAAGUGUAAAAAAUAUGCAAUGUAAAGUUACUUUACAUACCAGGCAGCUCAUAUUGAUGUAUGAUGUAUGAAUUUAUAAAUUAUUUUUUUUGCACCCAUCAAGUAAUCAACCCAUCAGUCAAUCAAUCAAUACAUUGAACUGUCACUUCUAAUACAUUACACUGCACUUCUUAGAAAUAAUAUAUCACAAAAUUCUAAAGAUUCAGACACAUCAUAAUAAAGACAUCGUAGUCGACUGUUUGUGUCACUUUGAAAUGUUGUUACAUUGAACUUCAUCGCACUAUUUUCAAGAACAUGCCUGAAAAAUGUUUACUGCAAAUAAUGCUCUGUGAGAAUGUGUUUACUGUCAUUCUCUCCAAUUAAAAGAUGUGUACUACAAGCUCGCACUGCU
rnacentral:lncRNA from 1 species